CAGACUAUACUUUCAGGGAUCAUUUCUAGAGUUUUGAUUGAGGAAUGUGUUUGCUAAAGUGUUUGGCUCUCGCUCACGAUGAUGAGUACGUGAUUUCCUUUCUGAGCGUGAGCUGACAGAGGUAAUGAUUCACUUCAUAUGCCUCUGUCAUUGAUGAUUGUUCUUUGCUUCUUUAUGGAGUAUUGACAGAAGGGAAUAUGUCAGAGUGGU